ACCGAGGGAGGGAGGAAGGGAGGGAGGGAGGCUGCAGACGAGCGCGGGGAGGAGUCUGCGAGGGGAGGCGCUUGCAGGGGCUCCCCCAGUUCUGCGCUGGGAGCCCGGGCACAAAGAGCCCUCUGCACUCGCGCUGAGCCGCAGGACUGCCGACUCCGAGGAGUUCCAGACAUGGCACAAGCCCACCACAGCCCUCACAGCAUCAAAGGAGUAAGCCAAGGCGACCUUUUCCUCUCUGCGCACCCAUGGGGCAGCAGAGACCAGCGCCAGGCAUGCACCCAGCUGGUCUUCCGUGAGAUCCAUGGGCGCCGAGGCUGGACUCUCCGAGAGUGCAGCCAGUUCCUGGGGCGGAAGUGAGAGGAGGGGAUGUCUGACGGUCAAGACCACGCGGGAAGCAGCCGUGCAGAUAAGUAUUCCAGCGGACCGGGCCACAGCCUCCCGGCCCGGCCUGUGCAGGUCUGGGCGGGGAAGGGUAGUGUCCGGAGACCCCCAGCUGGGAGGGGAGACUGGAGAUGUAGCUCCUCACUUUCCUCUCUCUCUGCCGCAAAGGAGGGGCUGGGCCCCGCUUCCUGGGGCCCCGCCAUGGGUCACUCUCACCCCCCCUCCCCCCACUUUUGGCCUGGAGGCGGGUAUUUUAUAAACGCCACCGGCAGGAAGUUCUGAGGAGCUGAGUUAGUUAUUUCAUCUCGAGAGCGCCGAGGAGCUGGCGUCAGGAGGAGGCGGGGGCCUCCCGGUGGCUGGCCCGGCCCUUCUCAGUCCUCGUCCUCUGUCAUCAUGUUGAUAAGACUCGGCCAGGGCUCCUCUGCUUGGCAGUCACGUGGGGAACUCAGCACCCCGCCUGGAGGGCACAUUCUCUGCAGGGCAGGGGGCUCAGUACCCCUGCCCCAUGUCCUGGACCCGUGCCCACUCCCGGUGCUGACAGCAAGCUCUGAAAACGUGCUGAUUAGCGGGGAGUCCUGCCCGGGCCUGGGAGGACCCUGGAUUCUGUGUUCUCCUGCAGUGUGGUUGGCUCUUCUGUCUUCCAGGGUGGGCCGGCGGGGGUCCGCGUGGGAGCCAGGAGCUGGGCGCUGCCGGCGCAAACACCGACCACCGAGCCGUUCUCCCAGGCUGAGGAUCCGGAGGGAACCCCAGGGCGUGGUCCUGCCCUCUCAGACCAUCACGUGACCAUGUGCCUGAUCACAGUCUCAGCAAGGGAGUGAGCUCCCUGUCCUGGGAGGUGGCUCCGUGCGCGCUCAGGACGCCAGCCUGGUCUUGUCUUUGGAGCCGGGGGACCUGGCCGCUGGGACACAGGGAGCAGCCUCCGGCGGUUUUCUGGAAGCCUGGACAAUUCUCCCAGGACCUUACUGGUGGAUGGAUAACAGGGCCCCCUGAUGGCGAGUCAGCGAAAUAGAAACCUGGCUAGGGAGACCAGCUGGAAGUUAUAAGGGCAGCCGGGCAGCUCAGCAGCCCACCACCCCUUUCUGGGCCGUCCCAUCUGGGCCUAGAGGUCACUUCCGGACCUUGGGCAGACUUGGCUCCCCCUUGAAUCUCGGCUGGUGCUGAGAGGGAGUGUGGCUGGGGCAGAGGCCCUGACUGCACCCUCCUCCCCAAGACCAGGUCCCCGGGACCCUACCAAAUGGGGGUGGGUGGGCAGGAACAUGGGAUGGGAGUGGCGAGGAGCUGCCAGAGGGAGGGAGGGCAGGCGUGGGUCCAUGGGUGCCAUCGCUGGCGUCUCUCUCUCGCCAUUUGCUUUGUGAGUGAUUCUCAUUUUGGAUGGGGAUUUUCCAGGCCUCUCCUCUUUCCGACGGACACUGGGAGGAGGCAGUCAGCGUCUGAGAGGAGCCUGGGCCUUCUCCCCAUGUUAUGGGCUCCUGAGGGGCUGCUGGUGGUGAGGGUAGCUGUGUGUGUGGGGAGGGGAUAGUAAUUGGUGUGCGCUCCUGAAAGGAGAGGGCUGGUUCCCAAGAGAGGAGGAGACUGAGGCCGGGGGACUCGCCUGAAGGAAGGAGCCGGACACUGGGCCUCGUUCCCGUCACCUAAAGGGAAGAGGCCGGGUCUCAGACCCCUGCUGCUUAUAACAAGCCUCGAUCCUGCCGUGGGGGACAAAGACAGGCAGGGCAGGGCCCACGCAGGCACGCACAGGCUCACCUCCACGUCCACCUCUCCAUCCCCCAUCCAUUCCAGCCACUUCCUGAGGGGCUGGUCCCAGUGCCCGCAGGAGAACUGCCAGGCACCAACUCUCUUGGGCAAGUUUAAAGCUAGACCUCGUUUCCCCAGGGUGGGCGGGGCCUGUGGCAGUCAACUCCAGCGGCCAGGGCAGAUGGGAAGCACAAAUGUUAUCUCCUCACAGUUCAGAAGCUGGAAGUCCAUCCGGGUGCCAGGGCUGGUUUCUCCUGCAGCCUCUCUCCUCCGCUUGCAGACGGCCACCUUCUUGGUGUCCUCAUGUGGCCUUUUCUCUGGGCACACACCUAGCCGGUGCAGGUGGAGAGGGGUAAAUCGGGUGUCUCUUCCUCUUUUCAUAAGGGCACUAAUCCUAUCAGGUUAGGGCCCCACCCACCCUUAUGACCUCAUUUAACCUGAAUUACCUCUUGAAGGCCCCAUCUCCAAAUAACAGUCACAUUGGGGGUUAUGGCUUAGACCUAUGGUUUUGGGGAGGGACAAAGUAUAGUCCGUAAUGGGGGGGGGUCACCACACACAUAAAAAGCAGGAGCCAUCUCCUCUUCACCACCCCCUCCCUGGCUAGGGUGACCCUGGGUGCUCUGUGCGGCUUUGGGAGGAAGAGGAGGAGGAAGAGGAGGAGGAGGAGGAGGACGAGGAGACAGGCUAAUGGCUGGUGUCCACUGGAUAUAGUGGUUCGGGAGCAGCUGGCCUUUG